rnacentral:rRNA from 1 species
UUCGGGUGGAGCGGCGGACGGGUUAGUAACGCGUGGGAAUAUACCCUUCACUAUGGAAUAGCCUCGGGAAACUGAGAGUAAUACCAUAUACGCCCUUCGGGGGAAAGAUUUAUCGGUGAAGGAUUAGCCCGCGUAAGAUUAGAUAGUUGGUGGGGUGAUGGCCUACCAAGUCUACGAUCUUUAGCUGGUUUUAGAGGAUGAUCAGCAACACUGGGACUGAGACACGGCCCAGACUCCUACGGGAGGCAGCAGUGGGGAAUCUUAGACAAUGGGCGAAAGCCUGAUCUAGCCAUGCCGCGUGAGUGAUGAAGGUCUUAGGAUCGUAAAGCUCUUUCGCUAGGGAUGAUAAUGACAGUACCUAGUAAAGAAGCCCCGGCUAACUCCGUGCCAGCAGCCGCGGUAAUACGGAGGGGGCUAGCGUUGUUCGGAAUUACUGGGCGUAAAG